AUUUUUUUUUAAUUUUCUUCUUUUUCUUGCCCAAAAAUUCAGUGAACAUCAAUGUCCUACACUGACCACCAGAUGGCGCUGAUGUACCGGUGAACGUCAAUGUCCUACACUGACCACCAGAUGGCGCUGAUGUACCGGGUUCAGAAGUCAAUCCUUUGGCUGGAGACCGUAUCACCCCCCACCACCUGAUUUUUGCCUCCGUGUGUUUAAAGCUGUAGUGUCAGUAGCUU